GGGUGACACAGACAGAAGGGAGCUAUGGGACACGGAGUCUGUCCCUCCCACUGCAGGGUGACACAGACAGAAGGAGCUAUGGGACACGGAGUCUGUCCCUCUCACUGCAGGGUGACACAGACAGAAGGAGCUAUGGGACACAGAGUCUGUCCCUCCCACUGCAGGAUGACACAGACAGAAGGAGCUAUGGGACACACAGUCUGUCCCUCCCACUGCAGGGUGACACAGACAGAAG